CCCCCCCCCCAAUCAUUCAGUUUGUACAAACUUCACUCACACUCACACACUACAUACGCUGCGCUUCUGUUAUAAAUUCAUAGAAAAUCAACCAUACAUCGGAUCUGCACUGUUCCACUUUUAUUUUACUCCGUGAAGGAAGGACUACAAAAUGGGGAAGGUUUGAUACAGGCCAGCCAUAAUCCCUUGAGCAUCCCAGCACAUCCACAGGAGCCCUGCCCCGUUGCUCUGCCAACCCUGAUGGUCCUAGACAGAAGACCAUCAAGAUCACAAAGAACUUGCAUAUGGGAGUGGAUUCAGCACUGACUGGAACAAAGGACAAUGAUCAGCUCUUUCCUCUGGGGGCAGGAAACUGCCAACUCCCCUCUGUCACCUGGAAAGUACUCAAGGGGGAACCAGCCAGGUGACAGGACACUCAGGUUACCUCCACAACUCCUCCCUCAACCCCUCCUUUUUUGUGAUGUAGUUGUGAUGUAGUCUUAGGGGUGUAGUUUGGGGGAUUAGUAACUAAUAAAAGUUGGGGUCUUCUUUUGUUCUGGA